GCACGAGUGUCGGGCGGGGAGACGGCCCCGACGGCAGGCUCCUCAGCAGCAGACACGACACAGGCGGAGCCGUCGGACGAGAUCAGCGCCGACGACUACCAGGCGAUGCGCAGCUCGCUGCGGCGGAAGCGGAGGAAGGAGCGGUGCCCGGAGUUCCAGCUCUCCUCCACGGGCGACCACGCCUCCCUGCUAAUGGCCGCCCACA